CUAAGGCUGAUGGCGACCGGCGCACGGGUGAGUAACACGUAUCCAACCUGCCGUCUACUCUUGGCCAGCCUUCUGAAAGGAAGAUUAAUCCAGGAUGGGAUCAUGAGUUCACAUGUCCGCAUGAUUAAAGGUAUUUUCCGGUAGACGAUGGGGAUGCGUUCCAUUAGAUAGUAGGCGGGGUAACGGCCCACCUAGUCAACGAUGGAUAGGGGUUCUGAGAGGAAGGUCCCCCACAUUGGAACUGAGACACGGUCCAAACUCCUACGGGAGGCAGCAGUGAGGAAUAUUGGUCAAUGGGCGAUGGCCUGAACCAGCCAAGUAGCGUGAAGGAUGACUGCCCUAUGGGUUGUAAACUUCUUUUAUAAAGGAAUAAAGUCGGGUAUGCAUACCCGUUUGCAUGUACUUUAUGAAUAAGGAUCGGCUAACUCCGUGCCAGCAGCCGCGGUAAUACGGAGGAUCCGAGCGUUAUCCGGAUUUAUUGGGUUUAAAGGGAGCGUAGAUGGAUGUUUAAGUCAGUUGUGAAAGUUUGCGGCUCAACCGUAAAAUUGCAGUUGAUACUGGAUGUCUUGAGUGCAGUUGAGGCAGGCGGAAUUCGUGGUGUAGCGGUGAAAUGCUUAGAUAUCACGAAGAACUCCGAUUGCGAAGGCAGCCUGCUAAGCUGCAACUGACAUU
rnacentral:rRNA from 1 species